GACGAACGCUGGCGGCGUGCUUAACACAUGCAAGUCGAACGGAAAGGCCCUGCUUUUGUUGGGUGCUCGAGUGGCGAACGGGUGUGUAACACGUGUGUAACCUGCCCUUGACUUUGGGAUAACUUCAGGAAACUGGGGCUAUUACCGGAUAGGAGCUCCUGCUGCAUGGUGGGGGUUGGAAAGUUUCGGCGGUUGGGUAUGGUCUCGCGGCUUAUCAGCUUGUUGGUGGGGUAGUGGCUUACCAAGGCUUUGACGGGUAGCCGGCCUGAGAGGGUGACCGGCCACAUUGGGACUGAGAUACGGCCCAGACUGCUACGGGAGGCAGCAGGGGGGAAUAUUGCACAAUGGGCGGAAGCCUGAUGCAGCAACGCCGCGUGCGGGAUAACGGCCUUCGGGUUGUAAACCGCUUGCGCCUGUAACGAAGCGUGAGUGACGGUAAUGGGUAAAGAAGCACCGGCUAACUACGUG
rnacentral:rRNA from 1 species